rnacentral:rRNA from 1 species
GACGAACGCUGGCGGCGUGCUUAACACAUGCAAGUCGAACGGAAAGGCCCUGCUUUUGUGGGGUGCUCGAGUGGCGAACGGGUGAGUAACACGUGAGUAACCUGCCCUUGACUUUGGGAUAACUUCAGGAAACUGGGGCUAAUACCGGAUAGGAGCUCUUGCUGCACGGUGGGGGUUGGAAAGUUUCGGCGGUUGGGGAUGGACUCGCGGCUUAUCAGCUUGUUGGUGGGGUAGUUGCUUACCAAGGCUUUGACGGGUAGCCGGCCUGAGAGGGUGACCGGCCACAAUGGGACUGAGGUAGGGACCAGAAGCCUACGGGAGGCAGCGGUGGGGAGUAUUGCGCAGUGGGCGGAAGCCUGUUGCAGCAGCGCCGCGUGCGGGAAGACGGCCUUCGAGUUAUAAACCACUUUCGCCUGUGACAAAGCGUGAGUGACGGUAAUGGGUAAGAAAGCACCGGCUAACUACGUG